rnacentral:rRNA from 1 species
ACGCUCGACACCUACGGUAGGCAGCAGUGGGGAAUAUUGCACAAUGGGGGAAACCCUGAUGCAGCGACGCCGCGUGAGCGAAGAAGUAUUUCGGUAUGUAAAGCUCUAUCAGCAGGGAAGAAACUGACGGUACCUGACUAAGAAGCACCGGCUAAAUACGUGCCAGCAGCCGCGGUAAUCUGAGCGGGCUGGCAAGGC